rnacentral:rRNA from 1 species
UAAUACAUGCAAGUCAAGGGCCAGUAAUGGCACCGGCGGACGGGUGCGUAACGCGUACACAACGUACCGUUUGGGUGGGGGAUAGCAUCGGGAACUGGUGGUAAUACCCCAUGGUAUUGGAAACUGGCAUCAAGUUUUCAAUUAAAGACUACGCCCAAAGAUCGGUGUGCGUCUGAUUAGCUAGUUGGUAGGGUAACGGCCUACCAAGGCGACGAUCAGUAGGGGGAUGUGAGAGCAUGAUCCCCCACACGGGUACUGAGACACGGACCCGACUCCUACGGGAGGCAGCAGUAAGGAAUAUUGGACAAUGGUCGGAAGACUGAUCCAGCCAUGCCGCGUGCAGGAAGACGCAUCUAUGGUGUGUAAACUGCUUUUGUACGGGAAGAAACACUCCUACGUGUAGGAGCUUGACGGUACCGUAAGAAUAAGGAUCGGCUAACUCCGUG